rnacentral:rRNA from 1 species
UACGUAGGGUGCGAGCGUUGUCCGGAAUUAUUGGGCGUAAAGGGCUCGUAGGCGGUUUGUCGCGUCGGGAGUGAAAACCCAGGGCUUAACUCUGGGCUUGCUUUCGAUACGGGCAGACUAGAGGUAUGCAGGGGAGAACGGAAUUCCUGGUGUAGCGGUGAAAUGCGCAGAUAUCGGGAGGAACACCGGUGGCGAAGGCGGUUCUCUGGGCAUUACCUGACGCUGAGGAGCGAAAGUGUGGGGAGCGAACAGG